UAUACAGUUCAUCAAUAAGGCAAGGCCAUGGAUUACAUUGAUGGUCAUUGGCUGGGAAUAUGGUGCAAACAUGUUGACGAAGUACUUGGCAGAAGCUGGAGAGAAUACAUCGCUUACAGCUGCCAUGUGCAUAGACAAUCCAUUUGACUUAGAGGAGGCUACAAGGUCCUUUCCUUAUCACAUGGCCAUUGGUCAGAAGUUCACUGUUGGACUAAUAGAUAUUCUAAGAUCUAAUAAGGAAACCCCCAAAUCAAAAACCAUAGCCCCUUCCUAUCAAAAAAGAAAAAAAGAAGAAGAAGAAGGAAAACAAUAGCUUCUCAUCCGUUUCUCUCUCCAGUCUCUAUGCUUCGCCUUUAGUGCACCUUCUCCUUUGUCUCUGCUCCUAAUGAUGAAUUGGGAUUGAAGGGAGCAAAAUCAAGAUGCCGUGGACGUCCUCUUUUGAUUCAAAUUCAUAAAAGCUUCCUUACUCUCUUUCUCUCUCCAUGUGGCAUGAGGUCAAAUAUUUGCUUUCUCUGUUCUAAAUAACAAUUUAUAGAACUCAAUGUUUUAUGUUAAAUAAAUAUAUGAUGUACUCUUCUAUAUAAUGCAGAUUUGUUGUAUUAUGUUCUUUCUCUACUCUUUUUGAGUCAUAGCAAAAGAAUUUGACAUUAGUAACUAUAUUCUAUUUAUUUAUUAUGAAAAUAAGAUUGUGAUCAUUAUUGCAAUUUUUUUAUUUGUUUAUUCAUAGAAUAUAUGUAACUAUGAAAAUAUCUUCAUUGCCAAUGGAUCUAUGGUAGUGGUAUUAAUCUUUUCGGCAUGUAUGUAUUUUUAUGGAGCUAAUAUACAGGAUUUCUUUUAUUGGGCACAAGCAUAUUGUG